UUGGGGUUGCGGACAUAUCAUAACGAAGAGGUAUCGUAAUUGAAGAGGUUUGGAAAGACCCACCACAGAAGGUAAUAGUCCUGUAUGUUAAACGAGAAGACUUCAGAUAUGAUCCAGAGUACCACGGGACACGUGAAACCCUGUGGGAAGCAGGAGGGACCACCCUCCAAGGCUAAAUACUACCUAGUGACCGAUAGCGUAUAGUACCGUGAGGGAAAGGUGAAAAGAACCCCGGGAGGGGAGUGAAAUAGAACCUGAAACCCUGCACUUACAAGCUGUGGAAGCACAUUUCUUGUGUGACCGCGUACUUUUUGUAGAACGGGCCAACGAGUUACGUUAAGUAGCAAGGUUAAGCACUUAAGGUGCGGAGCCGUAGCGAAAGCGAGUUUUAACUGAGCGUUCAGUUACUUGACGUAGACCCGAAACCGGGCGACCUACCCAUGAGCAGGAUGAAGCGAAAGUAAAAUUUCGUGGAGGUCCGAACCCACGAGCGUUGAAAAGCUCGGGGAUGACUUGUGGGUAGCGGUGAAAUUCCAAUCGAGCCCGGAGAUAGCUGGUUCUCCCCGAAAUAGCUUUAGGGCUAGCCUCAAGGUGAGAGAUACGGAGGUAGAGCACUGAAUGUCCUAGGGGGUAUUGCACCUACCGAAGACUAUCAAACUCCGAAUGCCGUCAUCUUAUACUUGGGAGUCAGACUGUGGGUGAUAAGAUUCAUAGUCGAAAGGGCAACAGCCCAGAUCGUCAGCUAAGGUCCCUAAAUGUAAGUUAAGUGGUAAAGGAUGUGGGAUUGCACAGACAACCAGGAUGUUGGCUUAGAAGCAGCCACUCAUUCAAAGAGUGCGUAAUAGCUCACUGGUCGAGUGAUCCUGCGCCGAAGAUUUCCGGGGCUAAAACUUACUACCGAAGCUACGGCAUCAGUAAUGAUGGGUAGGGGAGCUUCCCAUACGGGUUGAAGCAUGACCGUAAGGACAUGUGGACAGUAUGGGAGUGAGAAUGUUGGCAUGAGUAGCGAGAUGUGGGUGAGAAUCCCACAGGCCGUAAACCCAAGGUUUCCAGGGGAAGGUUCGUCCGCCCUGGGUUAGUCGGGACCUAAGCUGAGGCCGAAAGGCGUAGGUGAUGGACAACAGGUUGAUAUUCCUGUACUACCGAUAACCGUUUGAGAGAAGGGAUGACACAGUAGGAUAAGCUAAGCACACUGUUGGUUAUGUGUGCCCAAGCAUUGAGGCAGUCAAAGUAGGCAAAUCCGCUUUGAUAAUGCUGGGAUGUGAUGGGGAGCGAAAUUUAGUAGCGAAGUAGCUGAUUUCACACUGUCAAGAAAAGUCUCUAUCGAGGUUAAAGGUACCCGUACCGCAAACCGACACAGGUGGGUGAGGAGAGUAUCCUAAGGCCAGCGAGAGAACUGUUGUUAAGGAACUCGGCAAAAUGACCCCGUAACUUAGGGAUAAGGGGUGCCACCAUCAGGUGGCCGCAGAGAAUAGGCCCAAGCGACUGUUUACCAAAAACAUAGGUUUCUGCUAAGUCGCAAGACGAUGUAUAGGAGCUGACGCCUGCCCGGUGCUGGAAGGUUAAGGGGAUCUGUUAGAGCAAUCGAAGCAGUGAACUUAAGCCCCAGUAAACGGCGGCCGUAACUAUAACGGUCCUAAGGUAGCGAAAUUCCUUGUCGGGUAAGUUCCGACCCGCACGAAAGGCGUAACGAUUUGGGCACUGUCUCAACAACAGACUCGGUGAAAUUGUAAUUCCGGUGAAGAUGCCGGAUACCUGCGACAGGACGGAAAGACCCCAUGGAGCUUUACUGUAGCUUGACAUUGGGUCUUGGUACUACAUGUACAGGAUAGGUGGGAGGCUUUGAAACCAGGACGCCAGUUUUGGCGGAGCCAUCCUUGGGAUACCACCCUUGUAGUACUGGGACUCUAACCAUAGGCCAUGAAUCUGGUCUUGGGACACUGUCAGGUGGGCAGUUUGACUGGGGCGGUCGCCUCCCAAAAGGUAACGGAGGCGCUCAAAGGUUCUCUCAGUACGGUCGGAAAUCGUACGUAGAGUGUAAAGGCAAAAGAGAGCUUGAUUGCAAGACAUACAGGUCGAG
rnacentral:rRNA from 1 species